UGUGUAGAAAUGAAAAUUCUAUUAUUUUUGAUAGUUUAAAAUAUCUGAUGCGGUGCAAAAUGAGUCCGAUGAUGGGGAACGAUUGGAGCGAUCCAGCUCAGAGUUGAUGUGGUGCUCUAUAUAGCUAAACCAAGUCUACUUCAAUGGAGCUGAGAGCGAGGAUGAGUGGACUAGAAGACCUAUGAUGUCAUGCAUCAUUCGACAUAAAAUCGUGCAGUUCGGAUAGGCAUCCACUCAGCAU
rnacentral:lncRNA from 1 species